rnacentral:rRNA from 1 species
GACGAACGCUGGCGGCGUGCUUAACACAUGCAAGUCGAACGGAAAGGCCCUGCUUUUGUGGGGUGCUCGAGUGGCGAACGGGUGAGUAACACGUGAGUAACCUGCCCUUGACUUUGGGAUAACUUCAGGAAACUGGGGCUAAUACCGGAUAGGAUCUCCUGCUGCAUGGUGGGGGUUGGAAAGUUUCGGCGGUUGGGGAUGGACUCGCGGCUUAUCAGCUGGUUUGUGGGGUAGUGGAUUACGAAGGCUUUGAGGGGUAGCCGGCCUGGGAGGGUGAACAGCCACAUUAGGACUGCGAUACGGACCAGACUCCUACGGGAGGCAGCAGUGGGGAAUAUUGCGCAAUGGGCGGGAGCCUGAGGCAGCAACGCCGCGUGCGGGAUGACGGCCUUCGGGUUGUAAACCGCUUUCGCCUGUGACGAAGAGUGAGUGACGGUAAUGGGUAAAGAAGCACCGGCUAACUACGUG